ACACCUUAUGGUUUUGGACUUAGAAUAAUUCCAUGAGCAAGUAGAAGCCUUAAAACACCCUAGAACCCAUCACCAUGAGUUUACGGCCGUAAACUCAUGGUGAGUAGUCCCUGGGCCGUAAACAUGGUGUUAGCGGUUUACUCUUGGAGAGUAAACUCCAUUCCUUAGCCACACACACCUUUAGACGCUACCCGGGACACCCAAACACUUAUCCAAAGUGUUUUCUGCUCCUUUGAGCGCGUAUAUUUGUUUAAUUAGUAUUAAAUAUACUAAUUGUAUGUUAACAUAUGUUAUGAUAUGUUAAAUAGGUCAGUGUGUGUGUUCGAGUCCUUGCGUGGCACCGAACGCCCAAACGGCACCUUCGUCGGACCUACUUACACCAGGUGAGUUCAUACCCCUGAAUGAACCUUUUAAAUAUUUUUACGUGUUUUAUAGGGGGGGGGGAAUACAAGUUAAACAUGCUACUUAUCAUAUCAAUCACAUGUGAUUGAUAACCCGCAUGCUCAAGAUUUAACCACACUGUACAUUGUUUUACCGAAUAGGACACUAUAAUGGUUUUCAAAAAGGUUUUCGUUUGUUUCAAGACUCUUAUUUAUAAUGCUUGAUUUAAAGCUCACUUUAAACUGGUUUAUAAAGGUUUUACAAGAUUUUAAUCAAAGUUCACUUUCACAACGUAUACUUUUACUUGUUUGUUACUACUGCUUCGCUUUUACUUAUUUGAAACUCCUACUUGAUAAUGCAUUUCCUUCGUGAUACGCUUAUACCGGAUUUUUGUCUCUAUAUCGCUUAUACUUGUAGCCUCUUAUACUUGAUAGACGCUCUUACUUCACUUAUCGUCGUCUCCACUUCGAGAUACACUUAUACUUGAUAACGAUUCCACUUCGCGAUACAUUCAUAUUUGAUGGGCGCUUAUACUUAUUCACACUCUUAUUUCACUUAUACUUGUUAUCGCUUCUACUUCACUUAUACUUGUUAUCGCUUCUACUUCACUUAUACUUGUAGUCGCUUAUACCUGAUAGACACUCUUACUUCACUUAUGUCGUCUCUACUUCGUGAUACACUUAUACUUGGUACACUUACACUUCACGAUUCGAUUAUCUCACUCUGUACGCUUAUACAUCACGACUCGGAUAUUUCACUAUACGCUUAUACUUCACAAAUCAGUUAUUCCACCCUGUACACUUAUACUUCACGAUAUGAUCUCACUUGAUACACACUCAAGCGUAGUUAGAUGUAUGUUUGUGCUUGUAUAGAUUCAUAUAAAUAAUGAUUGAAGGACAUAGGAAGGCUUGUCCGCCCUAUUUCCUUUUCUUCGUUGAGAUGUGGUCUGGUGGGAUCGGAUGUCCAUCCAAACGUCGUUUGAUGCAUUAGUUAUAUAUUAUGUACACAAGCAUAGACAUAUGGGUUUACUUCAGUCAGUUCAGUUAUGAGUCUUUACCUCUAGUUCAGCACUUACAUUAGAAACCCACUAUUGGGAAGUCUCUACCCACUAUUUGGGAUGCAUCUUCAGGACACGGCCUUCUCCAUCAUCUAGUUGGUAACCAGAGUCUCCUGUAGGGAGAGCAGACAUUAUGUGUAUAGAUCUAUAUGGGAUUGACAACCCCGCACCCAGACUGCUAGCUACAGUCCCGGCCUACCAUGCCAACGGUGACAAAUGUCACAUUUUAGAUGCUUGUAGGGCGUCUGCUACUCUAGUUAGUAUGGUUACAAGUAUCUCGGGUUACCUUAUAAUUCAUGGCUUUAAGGUAACGGUAUUUCGCCAGCAAUUUACACUGUAUGCUGGUAAUUCAAUUUCAGAGUCACACUGUUUUGACCUUACAAGACGUAUCUUUCAUUUGAUACUUUCUGGGGUCCGUCUCCUCUGUUUUGACCUUACAAGACGUAUCUCUCAUUUGAUGUUGUCUAGAGGUAAUAUCCACUGUAUUCACAGAAUCCACCGUAUUCACUGUAUUCAUUGUGUUCAUUGUUUUUCACCUUGCUAGACGUAUCUUUCAUUUGAUACUGUCUGCGGUUUGUAUUCGCUGUUUUGGACCUUACCAGUUGUACCUUUCAUUUGGUACCGCCUGGGGUCUAUGUCUCCACUUGAUUAGACUAAACCAGGCGUGUCAUUCGUUCGAUACUCUCCUGGAGUCCAUGAUUCCUUGCCUUACUCAGCAGUCCUCACUGCUGAGGCAUAUGUUAUUCCCUGAUGUCGUUACUUUCUUUAAUAAUCGAAUUCAGUAUUUUGAUAUUGAUAGCAAUUUAGGGAAAACUACUUUUUACCACAUAACACUGACCAGUCUUGGUAGAAGGCUGCUUUAUUAAAGAAAAUAUAGGAUUUUCUGGAAAGAACUCUAAUACAGAGUAAACACUUAAACUACUACUUUAUAAAGUUAUUUGGAUAAAUGUCACUAAAUACUUAUGAACUCACCAACAUUUGUAAAAAUGCUGAUACUCGCUUUUCAAAUAACUUGUAUUCUCAGGUUAGCAUUAGACUGGUACAUCCCCAUAGUUGUUGAUGAAGAUAGCUUAGUACUGCGCUGUAUUUAUUCUAUUACUUGUAUUACUUUGAUGUAUUAAUGUAACCAUGUAAAACUAUUACUAUUAAUGCAAUGUUUUGUUGUACUUUGAUUACUAUAAUGCAUGUGUUGUGAUACUUGACAUGACGUCAUCCACCCCAGAACGUUUCCGCCGUUCCGGUUUUGGGGUGUGACAGAUUGGUAUCAGAGCAUUGUUUAUAGUGAGCUAAGUAUAUCAAUUCAUAAAAGAUAUACAACCUAUAAACACAAAGGGAUAAAACACUCUGACCAAGAAUUAUACUUUAAAAUAUAACCAUAUUUUACCAAAGUAUAAUAACAUCCAGAAUCUAAACACUCGAACAAAAGUAUCACAAGAAGAACAAGAAUAAAAGUCUUCGGAUGUUGAGCAUUACCGUCAAACCUGGGCAGUUAUGUAAUCGUAAUGCUGGGAUAAAUGUAACCUGAUCAACUACAUUUAUCCGAGAUGCGAUGAACGUGUGCUUGGGAGUGAUAGUGGUGUACAACAGGUCUGAAACUUACCAACUAGGAAUGCUAGAGCCAAACAUAAAGUUAAAAUACUAUAGGAGUAUUUUAGAACGCUAAAAGAUCCACACUAAUCCCAGAAUGAUACUCAGAAGAUAAGAAUCAAACAAGAAUUAAAAUACCAUAGGGGUAUUUUAGAAUCCAUAAACAACCUUGCGUGAAUAACUAAAAAGAUCCUUAUUGAUAUACCUACAACUACAGAGGGUGUACUCCCAAGGUUAUAUAUAAUAAGGAUCCCAUAGGCUAAGAAUGUGUGGUUUCGCUCUAUUUCCUUUUCCUCGUUGGGAUGUGGUUCUAGAGUAGUAUCACAUAUUCGAAGGCCUAUCGGAUCUAAGCUAUAUAUGAUUUGUAUACCCUGUGUAAUCGUAGCAGGACUCGAUAUGGAUCAUCCAGUGAAAUGUUAAUAAUCUCUUAGGAUUCUUUAGACAUUUCCAUUCUCGCACGAACCCUGUAGAAAACCCUAUCCACUUCAGUGCUUGACAGAAGAGUUGAUUCCGACCCCGAGGAGGUUCAUUGAGAAGAUUUCCUGUUCGGAAAUAAAUGAACUGGGUCGAGACUAUUGAAUGCACCAAGUGCCCAUAUUCUUUUAGGGACAGUGGUGAGAGAUUCGCCUAAACUUCGGAGAUUCCCAGUCAUCCAUCAUGAAGUGAUGACACCCACAGUUGGAAUCAGAAGGAAGGCGGAGUAGAAAUUCAAUAUGUCCAUACGAGAAGAGAACCCUAGGAAACUACCCGAAGGAAACCAACGCCGAUUCCAGUCAAAGAUACGAGGCAGACCGAGGGAGCCAGUACAUGGAACCCGGGAAUUGUCUUUUCCUCGUGUUCGUCACGCUAAUACACCCAUAAAAUAAUACAAUUUAGUGAGUUAGUGGUUACACUACUCACGCUAUGUGUUAGGUAAAUCGUCGUUUCCCGUUGCCAGAUACACGAUUAGGGCGGAUCCCCGCAUCUCUAUUGAGAGAAUUUUAGCCAUCUGCCCUUGUGAGCCUCUCUUUCCGCAGUUUCGUUCCGAACCGUUCUCAAAUCUCUCCAGGCCGGAGAGUGAAACCUUUCCCAGUAUAAAGGUAACUUAGUAGGAACGACUCGCAUCUUAUGGCCUUUUUCCGAUACUCAUACACCCACUUCGAUUACCAGGACUACAUCAUAGGGAUGUAGGUCGACACUCAGACGACCAGUACCCGAGGCACGGGAAAAUUUUAUGCCUAAUACGUUCAGGACAGAAAUGUCCAGGGUUAACCAUCGUCUCUCAUUACCUUGUAUUCCUUUCCGUGUAGGAAAACCAUGCCACCGAAGAAGCGUAACCAAUCCACAAGCAAGAAACCUACUCUCUUAUUCGAUGAAGCUACGUUCCAAGCUGCAGUCUCAGCAGCCGUAGCAGCUGUCAUGGCUCACCUGAAUGCUAACACCGCCAAUGUUAGCAAGGGCCCUAUCGGGAUUUCCAAUCCUGGCAAUGGACAGCAGCAACCAACACUUUCAUACCCAGUCACCCAAGAACCUCAACCGAACCCACUAAAGAGAAAACUCAAGAUUGAGGAGGGAAGUACCUCGGCUCAAGGACCUUCCGAAGGGCAACGAGCUGAGGGCCAAUGCUCCUGUAAAUCCUUCCCUCCCGACCUCAAGAAGACCAUACCUAGGAGACCUUCCCCACUGCAGCAAGUGCAGCUACCAUCAUCAUGGUGCCUGCCGGGAACUCUAUUGUGCUAGGUGCCACAUGUUGGGGCAUACUGCUCGCGUCUGCAGAACCCCGGUUGAGUUCAUUACAUCAACCACCAAUGUGGCGACCCGUACAGUUUGCCACCUAUGUGGUAAAAUGGGACACUUCAAGAAGGACUGCCCAACCGAAGGGAAAGACAAAGACACAGAAGGAGCCUGACACUACUGCUUAGGGAGAAGCGGCAAGGAACUCGUUAGAUUUUGGUACGUCUCUCGAUCUCGGAUAACUAAACUAAGAACAAUAAAAGACUAAUUCAAAUGUAAAUUCUUCCCAGUAAGGCGAAAGUCGCAGCACUGUUAUAAAAUUUAAAAUUCAUUAGGUAAAACUAUAAUGGCUAAACAUAUACGUUACGGCCAUGUAUAUUUAAGAUGGACAGACCUAGAGUGAGCGAAUGCCGCCUCAUUUCCUGUUCCUCGUUUGGUUGUGGAUUUAGGGCGGGGUCGCUCAGUCAACAGUCCUCCCCACCUUAAAUAUACAUGACUAGUAUAUGUGAGGCGAUUAUAGAAAUGCCUUGUGAGAAUCCACUCAUGAAAAGGUACUUUAUUCGGAAACACUUAGAACUCUCUAUAGUUCCGCGUCGACUCUAUCGGUCCAAGUAUCCGCGGUAGUGAUACAUAGGACGAAACCCGAGACGCCUAGAACUUGUGUGCCUGUUCGGCACAUGACUCUAUCGAUCUUCACUUUAUAUCAUGUCGAAGUGUGCCAACUUCGACGACUCUAUUGAUCAUGGUUUGACUUCGUGCAACCAUGUGUACAUCCUUAGUGCUGUGUAAAAAGAACUUUCUCCAUAGCCAUGUCGGCAAAUAAAGGUUCUUCCGAACCUAAACCUAACACAAAUAAUCAAACCUAAUGCGAUCCGUCAAUCGUCCCUCUUAUCUCAAACCUUCCGAAGUACCCAAGAGAGGGUACCGCGCGCCGUUGACCGACCCCUCGUAGUCAGAUGAACACCGAAGUGAACGACAUUGCAGAUACUCCAGAAGACAACAACCAUCCGAAGCGUACUUCAUAGUUUCCCCAAAAAGACCCUUCGCACCUCGCACGUCAGGUUCGUAAGCAUAGAGAUUAGAACUCAUGAGACUGACCACUAUAACUAGGUAUAUGCGUAAAGGUGGCAUAUAAUUGAGAUCAAAAAGAUUUAAGGUGUGUGUUUCCUCCCUAUUCCCUGUUCCUCGUUGGGUUGUGGGUUUGGGGUGGAGUCGCACAGCUGAACAUCCUGCCGACCUCAAUUGUAUACUGCUUGCAUACACCAAGUACUGGUGGUUAAGCCAAGCAUGAGCUCUACCACGAACCUCUUCGCAAAACACUUUCACCCUAUUCCAUAACAUAGGAGCCGGAGUCAAGAGAAUCACUGCGGGUUAAGCUAGUAAAGUUCCGAGUGAUGAGACCCUAUACUCACUAGAUUUGACCUAGACCGAGGAAACUCAGAACCUUCGGAAGAGUAGUUGCAGUAGAUGCUCUUACUACUCAGGCACCUUGCCCACCCUGUUAUAGACAGGUAGUGCCUAUCAUCCUCCACCCUCUCGCAUGGAGGAAAUCGUCGUCGCCCUGUAGACGAUAGACUUCAUUCUCCGAAGUGAACACUAGGAUACCGAGAACCACAGGAUAACCUUCGCAGCCAAGAAUACUUGAUCAAAGAGCGAAAGUAGUUGCGUUAAGCCUCAUGACCCUGAUCCCGAAGAGGUUAUAGACUUGACACCAGUCCUGGUGUUAGUCGAAGGGUUAUGCAGGAGCAUACACUUUCCACGCUAGAAUAAACCACAGUCUUAGAGAUUCAUUGGACUAUUAGGUGUUCCACGAAUACUAUCUCACGCAGAGAUAGUAGAACCACCUCCCGAGAUAGUCCAACACUCGUCUGGUGAAACCUUAUAUUCCCGACCUCCAGGGUUUCCGCAUCUCAAGCUUCGUUAGUGCAGAUUCCUUUUGCACAAGCUUGAGAUAGACACUCUACAGCAAACCGAUAACCAUAGUCACGCAACCCACUCGACGAUCUAGAAAGUCUCUAUCAGCCAGUUGACAAAAAACACGAAACCAAAGACCACUCGAGAUUCCUAAGAACCAACCUGAAGGACUACAUGCACAGUACGAGUGAGAACGUUAGGAACUUCGGAAUGGUGAUCACGCCAGUGAUGAUCUUGCCAUAGAAGUACACUAUGUUCUGAGUACUGAAAAGCUCUACCAUUCCGAGAGCUUAGGACCAUAUGAGAAUUCUCAUGGAGAUUUGGUCCAACCCUAUUCAGGCCGCUACUACCUUCGGAUAUACCACAAGAUUCACACCCAUUCGAUCCACUUCUUAGACUUGAUAUGUGAUUUCCCGACAACACUCUUUGUGCCUCACUCAUCUUGAUAGAAUCCAUUAAGAACCCUAACCUUGUAGAUACACCAGUUGGAACCCACUAGCUACACGAGACGGAAUCCGCAUCCCGUACGUAAGGGUCUGUUGGAAUGUCAAACACAGCCAAGAGAUCACUUGGGAAUGCGAGGACAACCACAUAGGAAGUACUCUCUUACCUCUACUUGGCCAUUCAUACCUACUUCCUUGCCUAGACCUGAAUUUCGGGAUGAAAUUCCCUCUAACGGGGGGAUCCUGUGACAACCCAAGUUGUUCCGUUACAUUUCCCCGUUACCGUUAACGGAAUAUUCCAGUUUAUAAAAAUUCCGUUAAUAAGGGGUCGUCAAAUAAAUAAAUGUUUCAUUUAUUUAUGUCGUUAAGUUGUGAUAAGAGAAAUAAAAACUCAAAAUACACGUUUCCAUUUAGUUGGAAAAGUUAGUUUUUAUUAUUACGACCACUAAAUCAGGUGCGACCAAAAGCCCCAUAUAACGACAGUAUCGGGUAGAAUCCCACUGAGCCCCAAAUCUAAAACCUAUAUAAGGGUGAGUGGAGUCCAUUGGGGAAUUUUUACACACUCCCCUCUCUCUCUCUACAACUUAAAUUCGAGCCAAAAAUCAUCCGUUUCGAGCGCCAAACGAGUAACCGAGCCAAAAAUCAUCCGUUUCGAGCGCCAAACGAGUAAGUAAACUAUCCGAACUCGUUGUAUAACUUAUCUAGCGUACAAAUUCGAGUUUAAAACAUAAAAUAGGGACAACAUCAUGAGUUUACGGCCCAAGAACACUCUUGGGCCGUGAACACCAAUUAAUGGGGUUUUUAAGCCCCAAAACCCCUCCAAAUUGUCCCUAAGGCUUAGAUAUGACUUGUAGGCUUAUGGAAUCGGGUUUAGAACACCUUGAACUAGCAUUUGGAAGAGUAAACAAGAGUUUACUGCCCAAGAACACGCUUGGGCCAUAAACUCCUCUUCAUGGGGAGUAAACUCAUUUUUGUGUGUUAAAAAUGCCCUUAAACACACCAAUGGCCUUAGAUUAAAUUCUAGAAUUGACCAACAACAAGCUAGAGACCUUAAAUGCAAUUAAAACAACUCCAUAAGGAGUUUACGGCCGUAAACCCCUCAUGGAAGGGUACCUGGGCCGUAAACUCCCACAAAGGGGUUAUUUGGUGCCCUAAACUCCCCAUUUGACUUGGAAAAAUGCUUAGGAAUUUACCCACUACCACUUAAGCCCUUAAAACACCAAAAGAAAGAGGGUAUAGGAGCUUACGGCUGUAAGCUCCCUUGCUUAUGGCCGUAAACUCCUCAAAGGGGCCAUUUCAUGCUUUAAACUCAUUCACACCUUAUGGUUUUGGACUUAGAAUAAUUCCAUGAGCAAGUAGAAGCCUUAAAACACCCUAGAACCCAUCACCAUGAGUUUACGGCCGUAAACUCAUGGUGAGUAGUCCCUGGGCCGUAAACAUGGUGUUAGGGGUUUACUCUUGGAGAGUAAACUCCAUUCCUUAGCCAUACACACCUUUAGACGCUACCCGGGACACCCAAACACUUAUCCAAAGUGUUUUCCGCUCCUGUGAGCGCGUAUAUUUGUUUAAUUAGUAUUAAAUAUACUAAUUGUAUGUGAACAUAUGUUAUCAUAUGUUAAAUAGGUCAUUGUGUGUGUUCAAGUCCUUGCGUGACACCGAACGCCCAAACGGCACCUUCGUCGGACCUACUUACACCAGGUGAGUUCAUACCCCUGAAUGAACCUUUUAAAUGUUUUUACAUGUUUUAUAGGGGGGAAUACAAGUUAAACAUGCCAGUUAUCAUAUCAAUCACAUGUGAUUGAUAACCCGCAUGCACAAGAUUUUACCACACUAUACACUGUUUUACCGAGUAGGACACUAUAAUGGUUUUCAAAAAGGUUUUUCGUUUGUUUC
rnacentral:lncRNA from 1 species